ACACAGUAAGCACUGGGGCUUUGCUGUAGGUGGAAUGAGGAGUCUGGGAGAGUUUUGAGUAGGCCUGACAGUUCCUGUCUUCAUUGUGAAGCCAUCACCUGGGCUGCAUAUGGAGGACUGGCUGACCCAGGAAGCAAAGAGUGGAAACAGAGCAACUAUGAGGCCACUGCAGUGCCCAGGAUCCAAUCCCGGAUCACACGUUGCAUGUUAACUACAUCUCCAAUUUGAGACAAGGCCUGUCUUUGUCUUCCAUGACUCGACACUUCUGAACAGUAUUAGUCUUCAUGUGCUGUCCAGUUGUUCCAGCACCAUUUGGUGAAAGGAUUAUCUUCUCUCCAUUGUAUUUCUUUGCUCCCUGUCAAAGGAAAGCUGCAUACAAGGAUUGAAGAGCCAGGAGAGUGCCUCAGAAAGCCUGCCUAUGGCAACGAUGCUUGUCUUGCAAUGCCAGAAUCAUUUCUAGAGCAUGCCACUUUCAUGGUAUACUGAUAAAGUCUUAGUAAAACCAAAUUAUUCCUAAUAUAUUUUUUAGUAUUGAAGGUGGGGCUGACUUUGCUAACUGAUAUGAAGCCAGGAUGAUCACAUGAAUGUGGGUGUGCUAAGCCCAAAUGCUACCUAUGUGUGAAAGCACUUUUGAGUAUCUUAAUUCUUUUUAUGUUUUUGUCAAUUUACUCCAAGUCCUGGUUUAUCUCUCAGCUUUCUGCUAACUUACAUUAUAUUCAGCUUUCUCCUCUUAACCACUAAAUUCUUCUGUACCUCAAGAAAGUCUUGAAAUACCCCUUUCUUCCAAGAAGUUUCCCUUGACUUGUUGGGAAUAGUAGUCCUUGAACCACCUCAUUUGGGUAUGGGGUUUUUAUGUGCCUACCCUCAAUUCUCUGAGCCAUAAAAAAGCACUUACUUGUCCCUAUUUUGCUUAAGUUUUAUUAUCCUCUAGCACUUAUAUGCUUCCCUGAGCCAUGUCACUUGAGGGACAGCAGAAAGUAUAUUUGGCUGGGAGGAAGAACUGGCCAUGGUUAAAUUAAAGGGCAAUGAAGCCAGACAAACUCCGAGUGUGACACAUCCUGCUCUUACCAGCCUUGUAGUCUUGAAGUCACGAAUUUCUCUCUUAGGUCCUGAUUUCCUCAUCUGUGAAAUGGACAUAAUACCUUCUAGCUCAUUAGGUUGUUGUAACACUAUUGGGAAGGCUAAAUGAGAUAAUUUGGUGCAAUGUCUAGCAUCUGGUAAGCCCCCAACAAGUAGAGAAUUAGGUGGACAGCUGAUAAAUGCUUUCUGACAAUGAUUAGGCAAAUAUAAGGUAAACUAAAAUUUAAGUAUGUAUUUUGUGUGUUAAAACUAUAUAUAUAAAAGUGAUACAACUAAUGAAAAUGCUGACAUAAAGAUGCUUAGGGGAAAAA